rnacentral:misc_RNA from 1 species
UAAAAGACAAUUCUUCUAUUAGUGACCCAGAGGUUUUAACUUUGCUGGUUUGAUUUUAUCUUUUCUGGAUGAUCCAUCUUGUUAGCAUAAUAUGAGUGCACUCAUUAUUAUGAUAAGCACCCUAGUGUUUAUUCUCAUUGUUAAUAACCGUAUUUAUACAGUCUGAUGCAUGUGCUGUUUGACUGGCAAUCUCUUUCUUAAUACUUUCAUCAGUUUUGUUUUCUGAAAAUUUUUCUUGCCAGAUUUUUGUGCAUCAACAUUGAGAUUUUAAAUAUAGAUUUUUGGGCAAUUAAUAACCUCAUGUUUAUUUUUUUUACUUGUUUGUCCAAGAUUGCAAUCUUAAUUUUCUGUUGACAGAAAAAAGAUUUUGCUUUAGUCCUGUUAUUGGUUUUCAGAUGCAGUACCAACAAUAUAUUACUCUAAGUUCUUUCAAUAUUUUGCUAGUCUCUGGCAAUGGUUGAAAUAUAUCUUCUUGUAACUGGUUUUCUUAUUGGAAUAAUUAAAAAAUCUGGGGCAGAAUUAAUGAGGAUGUCGUCAUUACUGAAUAUCAUAAACACGCCACAUGAGUAAUUACAAGAUAUUUGAGAUGGAUUCAAUUUUUUGUUUGGGUUGGUUUAAUCUCAGAUCUUUCUUGGUGUUGUA